rnacentral:rRNA from 1 species
UACGUAGGGGGCUAGCGUUGUCCGGAAUCAUUGGGCGUAAAGCGCGUGUAGGCGGUCCGGUAAGUCCGCUGUGAAAGUCGGGGGCUCAACCUCGGAUGCCGGUGGAGUACUGUCGGGCUUGAGUACGGAAGAGGCGAGUGGAAUUCCUGGUGUAGCGGUGAAAUGCGCAGAGUAUCAGGAGGAACACCAAUUGCGAAGGCAGCUCCGCUGGGACGGUAAGCUGACG